rnacentral:rRNA from 1 species
UACGUAUGGUGCAAGCGUUAUCCGGAAUGACUGGGUGUAAAGGGAGCGUAGACGGUUGUACAAGUCUGAUGUGAAAGCCCACGGCUCAACUGUGGGAGUGCAUUGGAAACUGUAGAACUAGAGUAUCGGAGAGGCAAGUGGAAUUCCUAGUGUAGCGGUGAAAUGCGUAGAUAUUAGGAGGAACACCAGUGGCGAAGGCGGCUUGCUGGACGAAAACUGACGUUGAGGCUCGAAAGCGUUGGGAGCAAACAGG